GGAUGAACGCGUAGCGGCAGGCUUAACACAUGCAAGUCGAGGGGCAUCGGGAGUAGCAAUACUGCCGGCGACCGGCGCAAGGGUGCGUAACGCGUGAGCAACAUGCCCGUAUCAGGGGGAUAAUCCAUGGAAACGUGGUCUAAUACCCCAUAGUAAUUAUGUAAGGCAUCUUAUAUAAUUUAAAGCUUUGGUGGAUACGGAUUGGCUCGCGUGACAUUAGCUGGAUGGUAAGGUAACGGCUUACCAUGGCUACGAUGUCUAGGGGUUCUGAGAGGAAGGUCCCCCACACUGGAACUGAGACACGGUCCAGACUCCUACGGGAGGCAGCAGUGAGGAAUAUUGGACAAUGGAUGGAAAUCUGAUCCAGCCAUGCCGCGUGCAAGGAAGACGGCCCUAUGGGUUGUAAACUGCUUUUGUAUGGGAGCAAUAAGGGCUACGUGUAGUCCGAUGAGAGUACCAUACGAAUAAGCACCGGCUAACUCCGUGCCAGCCGCGGC
rnacentral:rRNA from 1 species